AGAGAAAAAGGAGAUUGUGAAAGUAUUUGAAUCAUGAGAUUUUUGUGAAGAGUAAAUGCAAAAAGAAGCUAAGGUGACCACUGAUGUCCACUAACCCAUGACAGAAGGGAGUCCCCAGCUGGGAACAGAUUCCAUGACAUGUACUGAUUGUCUGAGCUCUGCAAGACUUUCGGCUCAGCUGGAGGAGCCAGAUGUGUACCCUGCCCCUUUGGAGAACCAGCCUCAAGUGCCAUGCUGUCAAAGCCGUGGAGAGAUUCUGGAGGAGAAGCCGUGCUGUGCAGAGAUGGAGAAAGGCCAAGGAACCAGGAGGUGCUGGGCACGGCAGUGAGGACCCACCUUGAGAGUGGGUCCUCCCCCACCUGACAACGUGAGAUUCAGAGACAAGAACAGCCCAGCCAGCUCCUUUCCAAACUCUCAAACGACACAGAUGUGAGCUAAAUAAAAUGGUUGUGCUAAGUUA